GACGAACGCUGGCGGCGUGCUUAACACAUGCAAGUCGAACGGAAAGGCCCUGCUUUUGUGGGGUGCUCGAGUGGCGAACGGGUGAGUAACACGUGAGUAACCUGCCCUUGACUUUGGGAUAACUUCAGGAAACUGGGGCUAAUACCGGAUAGGAGCUCCUGCUGCAUGGUGGGGGUUGGAAAGUUUCGGCGGUUGGGGAUGGACUCGCGGCUUAUCAGCUUGUUGGUGGGGUAGUGGCUUACCAAGGCUUUGACGGGUAGCCGGCCUGAGAGGGUGACCGGCCCCAUGGGGACGAGAGUACGGCCCGAACCCCUAGGGGGGGAGGAGGUGGGGAAUUUGGCAAAAGGGGGGGAGGCCUAAGGCGGAAACGCCGGGGGGGGGAUGAGGGCCUUGGGGUUGUAACCCUCUUUCGCCGGUGACGAGGGGGGGGGGAGGGAAAUGGGAAAAAAAGCACCGGCAAACUACGG
rnacentral:rRNA from 1 species